GGACAGACCUCCACAGCUGGUAAUCAACGUCUCAGGCAGUGACCCUGACAUGACCAAUGCCACAGCUGGUGCCCCAUGUGUGAAGAGACCGUGUGAGGAGACCAAGACAUCGUCACAGCAGGCUCCCCAGCAUGUAGCGAACCAACGUGAUCAUCGCUGCGAAGAAGUGGUGGAUCCCCCGAAAACAGAAGGUGCAGGAGACCCCAGGAUCAGGUUAAGUAGUCAGACAGGAGACUUCACAACCUGCUAAAAAUGAGUUUAUAAGACCUACUCAUUUAGGAAUAAAGCGUCCUAGCCAUGACACAUCAGAUGAAACCUGAGACUCAUUUUCUUCUAAAAUGCUUUCUCCAAAAAGACUUUUAAAAAGACAAGGGGGGAAAUGUGAAAAGAAAAUAUCUUAGGCCCCCUCAAGUUGGGAACUGCUCCGGACAAAUCUGCCUCCCAUUCUAUUCAAAGUCAUCCCUCUGCUCACAGAGAUAGAUGCAUAUUCUGAUGGCCUCCUUUGGAAAGACUUAUCAGAAACUCAAAAGAAUGCAUCCAUUUGUGGCUUACCUGUGACUUAGAAGCCUCUGGGGGUUGGGUGCGGGCCUUGCUUUGAGUUGUCCCCACCUUUCUGGAUGGAACUAAUGUAGUUCUUACAAUAUUGAUUGAUGUCUCAUGUCUCCCUAAAAUGUGUAAAACCAAGCUGUGCCCCAGUCACCUUGGGCACAUGUCAUUGGGACUUCCUGAGACUGUGUCAUGGGUGUGUCCUCAACCUUAGCAAAAUAAACUUUCUAAAUUAACUGAGA